rnacentral:rRNA from 1 species
AUUGAACGCUGGCGGAAUGCUUUACACAUGCAAGUCGAACGGCAGCAUAGGUGCUUGCACCUGAUGGCGAGUGGCGAACGGGUGAGUAAUACAUCGGAACGUGCCCAGUCGUGGGGGAUAACGUAGCGAAAGUUACGCUAAUACCGCAUACGAUCUAAGGAUGAAAGCGGGGGACCGUAAGGCAUCGCGCGAUUGGAGCGGCCGAUGUCAGAUUAGGUAGUUGGUGAGGUAUAGGCUCACCAAGCCGACGAUCUGUAGCUGGUCUGAGAGGACGACCAGCCACACUGGGACUGAGACACGGCCCAGACUCCUACGGGAGGCAGCAGUGGGGAAUUUUGGACAAUGGACGCAAGUCUGAUCCAGCCAUUCCGCGUGCAGGACGAAGGCCUUCGGGUUGUAAACUGCUUUUGUACGGAACGAAAAAGCUCUUACUAAUACUAGGAGUCCAUGACGGUACCGUAAGAAUAAGCACCGGCUAACUACGUGCCAGCAGCCGCCGCAG